CCUACGGGCGGCAGCAGUGAGGAAUAUUGGUCAAUGGACGAGAGUCUGAACCAGCCAAGUAGCGUGAAGGAUGACUGCCCUAUGGGUUGUAAACUUCUUUUAUAAAGGAAUAAAACGAGGCACGUGUGCCUUUUUGCAUGUACUUUAUGAAUAAGGAUCGGCUAACUCCGUGCCAGCAGCCGCGGUAAUACGGAGGAUCCGAGCGUUAUCCGGAUUUAUUGGGUUUAAAGGGAGCGUAGAUGGGUUGUUAAGUCAGUUGUGAAAGUUUGCGGCUCAACCGUAAAAUUGCAAUUGAUACUGGCAGUCGUGAGUACAGUUGAGGUAGGCGGAAUUCGUGGUGUAGCGGUGAAAUUCUUAGAUAUCACGAAGAACCCCGAUUGCGAAGGCAGCUUACUAAACUGUGACUGACAUUGAGGCUCGAAAGUGUGGGUAUCAAACAGGAUUAGAUACCCCUGUAGUC
rnacentral:rRNA from 1 species